CUGAACAAAAGGUAUGGCGACUCCAAGUCCUUUAAACUGCCAAUGGCCACUGGAGGGAACGAGCCGAAGGUGCCAAGAGGUGCAAAGCUAUGCCCUGAUCCCUUCAAACUGUACAGUCUUGGGAACAGCCCAACAUCACUCCCCAAAAGGGCCCACACUUCUAAGAUACUUUUGAGAAGCUGUUUCACUGAGUGGCACUCCAAGAUCUGGUGGGCAAACAAAAGACAACUUUCCAAAUGUAGCACCUACUAGUUGAUUUAUGAAAGUAUAUUUAUUUGAGCACCACCAAGUAAUUAUCACUGGAUAUUGUUCUUGCUGCUCCAUUUGUGAGCAUGCGAGCAUGCACACAUAAACACAUAGGUGCAAUUUCUUCAUAAUGGUUCCAAUUCGUUUACACACAUAGUUAUUUAUAUAAUUUCUGCUGACAAUUUGGACAAACAAAUAAUUUACAUCCAAAGAUUGAUAUGUGUACUUUUUAAAAUUGCUGUGUGCAACAAGACAGUCUUUCCUCAUACAACUCCAUUUAAAAUAUAUUCACAGUGACCAAGAUGUUCUAUUUUCUCCACAGAACUUGUCAGAUGUGAUCUCCCAGGCCUGCCAUACUGAGGACAAUGGGUACAUGUCCAAGCCCAUCCUAGGAGGAGCUCAGAGAAGGAAGAGGCCCCCUAGACCAUGUGGAAUAGACCUCAUCCUUGGCACAUGUUCCCACAAUCCAUAUGAUCAUCUAACAGCACAGUUCCCAGAUCAAGACUUUCAAGACAAAGACUCAAAGACCAAAUACACCCCAGAGGAAGGAUCUCCCCACUCCUCAGCGCUGACAAAGAGGGCCUUCACACAUGGCGAGGCCAGGGCCUGCCACUACACUAGUAGCCAGAUGUCGUUGUUUGCAUGUGGCUUGUUCCCCAAGGCUCUAUGUGCUGUAGCCGAGGACCUUCAAGAGGUGGGGCCUGGUGGAGGUCUUUGGAUCAGUAGGCUGUGCCCUGGGAAGGGAUAGAGGGAUUUCUCAGGAGACCCUUAGUUGUUAGA
rnacentral:lncRNA from 1 species